UACUUGCAAUUUAUUAAUGCUGUCAAUUAAAUAAUCUGAUGAUAUUUCGAGUAGGAAUCUCAUUGAGCUUCAGUCAUGCGUAGCUUUGAAAUUAAUUUUAAUCUCUAACUGAUGAAACCUCUAUAAAAAGGAGAUCAAUAUUUUAAAUUCCUAGCUAAUAAGCUCUUUUUUUAUUUCAGUCGCUCCAAAGAGUAUCUGGAUCCUUGGCUAACUUCUUAUAAGUUGUCCCAAGGAAUAUUUAGACUCUUGGUUAAUUUCUUACAAGAUUACCAGACGAUAUUACGAUUCCUUUUAAUAUAUUUUAAACAGAAUAAAACAUUUAAAGAAAUUUUUGCACUUAAAA